rnacentral:rRNA from 1 species
GGACCCGCACAAGUAGUGGAGCAUGUGGUUUAAUUCGAAGAUACGCGCAGAACCUUACCAACACUUGACAUGUUCGUCGCGACUUUAAGAGAUUAAAGUUUUCGGUUCGGCCGGACGAAACACAGGUGCUGCAUGGCUGUCGUCAGCUCGUGUCGUGAGAUGUUGGUUAAGUCCCGCAACGAGCGCAACCCUCACUUUUAGUUGCCAUCAUUUAGUUGGGCACUCUGAAAGAACUGCCAGUGAUAAGCUGGAGGAAGGUGGGGAUGACGUCAAGUCCUCAUGGCCCUUACGUGUUGGGCUACACACGUGCUACAAUGGUAUCUACAACAGGAAGCAAAACAGCGAUGUUAAGCAAA